rfam:Triticum urartu cultivar G1812 contig244691, whole genome shotgun sequence.
GUAGUACUCCCUCCGUCCGAAAAUACUUGUCAUCAAAAUGGACAAAAAAGGAUGUACUUGUCAUCAAAAUGAGCAAAAAAGGAUGUAUAUAGAACUAAAACAUAUCUAGAUACAUCCUCUUUUAUUCAUUUUGAUGACAAGUAUUUCCGGACAGAGGGAGUAGUUU